AUUGAACGCUGGCGGCAUGCUUUACACAUGCAAGUCGAACGGUAACAGGGUGCUUGCACCGCUGACGAGUGGCGAACGGGCGAGUAAUGCGUCGGAACGUGCCGAGUAGUGGGGGAUAACGCAGCGAAAGUUGUGCUAAUACCGCAUACGUACUGAGGUAGAAAGUGGGGGACCUUCGGGCCUCACGCUAUUCGGGCGGCCUACGUCGGAUUAGCUAGUAGGUGAGGUAAAGGCUCACCUAGGCGACGAUAAGUAGCGGGUCUGAGAGGAUGAUCCGCCACACUGGGACUGAGACACGGCCCAGACUCCUACGGGAGGCAGCAGUGGGGAAUUUUGGACAAUGGGCGAAAGCCUGAUCCAGCCAUGCCGCGUGUCUGAAGAAGGCCUUCGGGUUGUAAAGGACUUUUGUCAGGGAGGAAAUCCCUAGUGCUAAUAACACUGGGGGAUGACAGUACCUGAAGAAUAAGCACCGGCUAACUACGUGCCAGCAGCCGCCGUAA
rnacentral:rRNA from 1 species